rnacentral:tRNA from 1 species
GCCACCUUAGCUCAGUCGGCAGAGCGAUUCACUCGUAAUGAAUAGGUCAUGAGUUCGAUUCUCAUAGGUGGCUCCA